rnacentral:rRNA from 1 species
CAAUAGCGUAUAUUAAAGUUGUUGCAGUUAAAAAGCUCGUAGUUGGAUUUCGGGGCAGCCUGGCUGGUCCGCCGCAAGGCGAGUACUGGUCAGCCGCCCUUCCUCUCGAAAGCCCCGACUGCUCUUUACUGCAGUGGUCGGGUAGUUCGGGACGUUUACUUUGAAAAAAUUAGAGUGUUCAAGGCAGGCUAUCGCCUGAAUACAUUAGCAUGGAAUAAUGGAAGAGGACCUCGGUCCUAUUUUGUUGGUUUCUAGGGCCGAAGUAAUGAUUAAGAGGGACAGUUGGGGGCAUUCGUAUUUAAUUGUCAGAGGUGAAAUUCUUGGAUUUAUGAAAGACGAACUAGUGCGAAAGCAUUUGCCAAGGAUGUUUUCAUUAA